CCCGGGGCGGGAGAGCCCCUCAUACUUAUGAGCGAGAUUAUCAGCUGGCGGCUGACCAGAGGUGGAACACCAGGAAGGGAACCUGGCGGAAAGGGAAGGUUCAAGGAUCUCCCUCCUCCGGGGCUCCAGCAAUUCUCCUCUCCCAGCCUCCCACUAACUUGGACUACAGAUCCACCACCCAACAAGGCCUCCCAAUCUACCCUCUGAGGACAGUUGUUCACAGAACAGCCCACCACAAGUUAUCAUGGCACCUCCACCUGACAGACCUGCGCUCACCCAGGCUCCAGUCUGUCUUCUCUACAGCAGGCUCCUAAAUCAGAGUGCACCCUCCUCUGCUCAGAACCCUCGGUGGCCUCCACGUUGCUCUGAGGAAAAGCGGAAAUCUUCAUCAUGGCCUCUUCUUGGCCCUCGGCUCCUUCCCCUGGACCCUUGGCUUGCUCUGAGCAUUCUCACCAGCCUCCUGACUGUACCAGAAAAUCCCCACCAGACACCUCGGGGCCCUAGUACUGGCGGUUCUGUUCCCUCCGCAUAGAAACUCUUUUUCCAGAUGUCUACGUGUAGCACCUCCUUGGUCCUCUGCUAAAGUGUCUCCUUGGGGAGGUCUCCUCUGCCCAACUUAUCUAAACAGUAUAGCUCAGUGCUAGAGCACAUUCCUAGUGAGCACAAGGUCCUGGGUUCAU